rnacentral:rRNA from 1 species
AACCAGCUCUUCAAGUGGUCGGGAUAAUUAUUGGGCUUAAAGUGUCCGUAGCCGGUUUAGUAAGUUCCUGGUAAAAUCGGGUAGCUUAACUAUCCGCAUGCUAGGAAUACUGCUAUACUAGAGGGCGGGAGAGGUCUGAGGUACUACAGGGGUAGGGGUGAAAUCUUAUAAUCCUUGUAGGACCACCAGUGGCGAAGGCGUCAGACUGGAACGCGCCUGACGGUGAGGGACGAAAGCCAGGGGAGCGAACCGGAUUAGAUACCCGGGUAGUCCUGGCCGUAAACGAUGCAUACUAGGUGAUGGCACGGCCAUGAGCCGUGUCAGUGCCGUAGGGAAACCGUUAAGUGUGCCGCCUGGGAAGUACGGUCGCAAGGCUAAAACUUAAAGGAAUUGGCGGGGAAGCACCAAAAGGGGUGAAGCCUGCGGUUC